rnacentral:rRNA from 1 species
AUUGAACGCUGGCGGCAGGCCUAACACAUGCAAGUCGAGCGGAUGAAGGGAGUUUGCUCCUGGAUUCAGCGGCGGACGGGGGAGUAAUGCCUAGGAAUCUGCCUGGUAGUGGGGGAUAACGUCAGGAAACGGGCGCUAAUACCGCAUACGUCCUGAGGGAGAAAGUGGGGGAUCUUCGGACCUCACGCUAUCAGAUGAGACUAGGUCGGAUUGGCUAGUUGGUGGGGUAAAGGCCUACCAAGGCGACGAUCCGUAACUGGUCUGAGAGGAUGAUCAGUCACACUAGAACUGAGACACGAUCCAAACUCCUACGAUGCGCAAGAGUAGCUACUAUUAGACGAGUGACGAAAUGCUUAUCCAGCCAUGCCGCGUGUGUGAAGAACUUCUUCGGAUUGUAAAGCACUUUAAGUUGGGAGGACGGACAGUAAGUUAAUACCUUGCUAUUUUGACGUUACCAACAGAAUAAGCACCGGCGAACUUCG